UACGGAGGGUGCAAGCGUUGCUCGGAAUCACUGGGCGUAAAGGGCGUGUAGGCGGUCUCGUAUGUCUGACGUGAAAGCCCCGGGCUCAACCCGGGAAGUGCGUUGGAAACUGCGAGACUAGAGUCUCGGAGAGGAAGGUGGAAUUCCAGGUGUAGCGGUGAAAUGCGCAGAUAUCAGGAGGAACACCAGCGGCGAAGGCGGCGCUCUGGGGCCGGAACUGACGCUGAGGAGCGAAAGCGUGGGUAGCAAACAGG
rnacentral:rRNA from 1 species